AUUGAACGCUGGCGGCAUGCUUUACACAUGCAAGUCGGACGAGUGGCGAACGGGUGAGUAACAUAUCGGAACGUACCGAGUAAUGGGGGAUAACUAAUCGAAAGAUUAGCUAAUACCGCAUAUUAUUCGAGCGGCCGAUAUCUGAUUAGCUGGUUGGUGGGGUAAAGGCCUACCAAGGCGACGAUCAGUAGCGGGUCUGAGAGGAUGAUCCGCAACACUGGGGCUGAGACACGGCCCAGACUCCUACGGGAGACAGCAGUAGGGAAUCGUCCGCAAUGGACGAAAGUCUGACGUAGCAACGCCGCGUGAGUGAUGACGGCCAUCGGGUUGUAAACUGCUUUUGGAGGGGGAUAGGUACCAUACAAAUAAGGACCGGCUAAUUCCGUGCCAGCAGCCGCGGUAAUAC
rnacentral:rRNA from 1 species